rnacentral:rRNA from 1 species
CCGCGGUAAUACGGAGGGUGCGAGCGUUAAUCGGAAUUACUGGGCGUAAAGCGCAUGCAGGUGGUUUGUUAAGUCAGAUGUGAAAGCCCGGGGCUCAACCUCGGAAUAGCAUUUGAAACUGGCAAGCUAGAGUACUGUAGAGGGGGGUAGAAUUUCAGGUGUAGCGGUGAAAUGCGUAGAGAUCUGAAGGAAUACCGGUGGCGAAGGCGGCCCCCUGGACAGAUACUGACACUCAGAUGCGAGAGCGUGGGGAGCAAACAGGAUUAGAUACCCUGGUAGUCCACGCCGUAAACGAUGUCUACUUGGAGGUUGUGGCCUUGAGCCGUGGCUUUCGGAGCUAACGCGUUAAGUAGACCGCCUGGGGAGUACGGUCGCAAGAUUAAAACUCAAAUGAAUUGACGGGGGCCCGCACAAGCGGUGGAGCAUGUGGUUUAAUUCGAUGCAACGCGAAGAACCUUACCUACUCUUGACAUCUACAGAAGCCAGCGGAGACACAGGUGUGCCUUCGGGAACUGUAAGACAGGUGUUGCAUGGCUGUCGUCAGCUCGUGUUGUGAAAUGUUGGGUUAAGUCCCGCAACGAGCGCAACCCUUAUCCUUGUUUGCCAGCGAGUCAUGUCGGGAACUCCAGGGAGACUGCCGGUGAUAAACCGGAGGAAGGUGGGGACGACGUCAAGUCAUCAUGGCCCUUACGAGUAGGGCUACACACGUGCUACAAUGGCGCAUACAGAGGGCAGCGAACUUGCGAGAGUAAGCGAAUCCCAAAAAGUGCGUCGUAGUCCGGAUUGGAGUCUGCAACUCGACUCCAUGAAGUCGGAAUCGCUAGUAAUCGAGAAUCAGAAUGUCACGGUGAAUACGUUCCCGGGCCUUGCACUCACCGCCCGUC